CACGUAGGGCGCAAGCGUUGUCCGGAAUUAUUGGGCGUAAAGAGCUCGUAGGCGGUCUGUUGCGUCCGCUGUGAAAACUCGGGGCUUAACCCCGAGCCUGCAGUGGAUACGGGCAGACUAGAGGUAGGUAGGGGAGAAUGGAAUUCCCGGUGUAGCGGUGAAAUGCGCAGAUAUCAGGAGGAACACCGGUGGCGAAGGCGGGUCUCUGGGCCGAUACUGACGCUGAGGAGCGAAAGUGUGGGGAGCGAACAGG
rnacentral:rRNA from 1 species